rnacentral:rRNA from 1 species
GUGAGGUUUUGGUUUGGAUGCGUGCAUCUCCAGCCUCCUCCCAAGUCCUACUCCUACUACUGAACAGAGAGAGGGACAGAGCAUUCCCCUCCUCCAACCUCCCCCCCAGCUGCCUCCCCUCCCAAAGCUCCCCACUUCUCUCGCUCCGGCGUCGCAUUCGCCCCGGCCGCCCCGCCGAUUCCCUCGGGUCUUAUCCUCGCUCGCGGCCUGCCGUCAGCGGGGCUCCCCUCCGCUCGGAGUCUCCCCCGCGCCCCGCCGAAUUUCUUGGGUCAUUCUCUCCGGCGGCUCCGGGUGCGGGCUUUCGGUCCGGGGCGCCGCGGCCCACGAUCAUUGCUGGAGGAGAGCUUUUUCCGCGGAUGGGUUUGGUUCGGAGUCUGGAGUACCUGCGGCGUCCAUAGGUUAGAUCUGGAGGUUUCGGCGCUCUGGAUCUGAGCUGUUGGUUUCGGGUGGAGGAGUCGGGACUGGCGGUCGCAAUCCUCCCAACCAUUUUGGUGCUGUCCGUUCUGGGUUACUAGGGGGUUUGCGUGUUCUAAAUAGGGCAUGGAUGGCAGAUGCAGUAACUACUAGUAUCUCUUGAAGAAACUUCAGCUGCAGAUCUGAAACCCAUUUGUGCCCCUUGCUCUAGUUGCAGCCCUGCCAGAUGAGGUGAACCAGGCCGCUUUCCAGUGUCCCCUUGCCAUUGCUUGUUGCCAGUGUUGGUUGCCAGUUUUGGCUCAACAAAUCUGGGUGGAGCCUGAUCUGUCCAAGCCAGCAUUAGUUGUGUGCUCUCUGCGUCUGGUUGAGCAAGGUUGCAGCUAAUUUUGUUGAUUUCGUUGGCUUUGUUUAGUAGCUUUGAUAACCUGGAGACUGCAAGCAAACAGAUCCCGUCCUGCAGCUCUAGUAAUAAGGUGGUGCUGGGGGAAGGCACCAUGACCUACUUUCCCGAGGAGGUGGUGGAGCACAUAUUCAGCUUCUUGCCUGCGCAGUGUGACCGGAACACGGUUUCACUUGUUUGCAAGGUAUGGUAUGAGAUUGAAAGGCUGAGCCGGCGAACUGUCUUUGUGGGUAACUGCUAUGCUGUGCGCCCUGAGCGUGUGGUGCUUCGGUUCCCCAAUGUGCGGGCACUGACAGUGAAGGGGAAACCACACUUCGCUGAUUUCAACCUUGUGCCACCUGAUUGGGGUGGGUAUGCCGGACCAUGGAUCGAGGCAGCAGCCAGGCGCUGCGUGGGUCUUGAGGAGCUGCGGAUGAAGCGGAUGGUGGUGUCAGAUGAGAGCCUGGAGCUGCUUGCCAAAUCAUUCCCACGAUUCAGGGCCCUAGUUCUUAUCAGCUGUGAGGGGUUCAGCACCGAUGGACUAGCAGCUAUUGCAAGUCACUGCAAACUCUUGAGGGAGUUAGAUUUGCAGGAAAAUGAGGUGGAUGAUCGAGGGCCAAGGUGGCUCUCCUGCUUCCCUGAUUCCUGCACGUCCCUUGUCUCCUUGAAUUUCGCCUGCAUCAAAGGGGAGGUUAAUGCUGGUUCAUUAGAGAGACUUGUUGCUAGGUCCCCAAGUCUUCGGAGUUUGAGGUUGAAUCGAUCUGUGUCAGUAGAUACACUCUCGAAGAUAUUAAUGCGCGCCCCUAAUUUGGAGGAUCUAGGGACUGGGAACUUGACAGAUGACUUCCAAGCUGAAUCGUAUCUCAGGCUGACCCUUGCAUUGGAGAAAUGCAAACUGCUGAGGAGUUUGUCGGGCUUUUGGGAUGCCUCCCCUUUGUGCCUUCCAUUCAUCUAUCCUGUAUGUGGGCAACUAACAGGUUUAAAUUUGAGCUAUGCUCCGACACUUGAUUCUUCCGAUCUCACCAAAAUGAUCAGCCACUGUGUGAAACUCCAACGUCUUUGGGUACUGGAUUGCAUCGCGGAUAAGGGCUUGCAAGUGGUGGCCUCCAGUUGCAAGGAUCUACAAGAACUCAGGGUAUUCCCGUCAGACUUCUAUAUCGCCGGGUAUUCCCCAGUAACAGAGGAGGGACUUGUUGCAAUAUCCUUGGGCUGUCAAAAACUGAGCUCAUUGCUAUAUUUUUGUCAUCAAAUGACGAAUGCCGCACUGCUUACUAUAGCUAAGAACCGCCCAAAUUUCACGCGAUUCAGACUCUGUAUCCUUGAGCCUGGGAAGCCUGAUGCCAUGACAAACCAACCAUUAGAUGAAGGUUUUGGUGCUAUUGUUCGUGAAUGCAAAGGGCUAAGGCGAUUGUCAAUAUCGGGUCUUCUCACCGACAAGGUUUUCAUGUAUAUUGGUAAAUUCGCGAAACAACUUGAGAUGCUUUCAAUAGCAUUUGCUGGAGAUAGUGAUGCGGGAAUGAUGCAUGUUAUGGAAGGAUGCAAUAAUUUGAGGAAGCUGGAGAUUAGAGAUAGCCCAUUUGGUGAUGCUGCACUCUUGGAGAAUGUUACCAAGUAUGAGACAAUGCGAUCCCUUUGGAUGUCAUCGUGCAAUGUCACAGAAAAAGGGUGCCAAAUCCUUGCAUCAAAGAUGCCAAUGCUUAAUGUGGAGGUUAUAAAUGAGGUGGAUGAGAGCAAUGAAAUGGACGAGAACCAUGGAAUCCCCAAAGUUGACAAGUUAUAUGUUUACCGCACAACUGCUGGGGCAAGGGAUGAUGCGCCAAAUUUUGUUAAAAUCCUAUAGAGCUAGUUGAGAAUUGCCUGGUAUCUCCUUGCUGUAAAAGAUGGUCGGCGGAAUGGAAUCCGGCGGGGGCCUGUGGACAGUGGCAAGUCUCCCGCUGCCCCCCUCGGCUUUGCAGCGCCAGGAGAAGCCACGUCAGUGUGCUCCUUAUCCUGGAGCAUCUCUGUCCGGCGAUCCAUCAUUCCCUUUUUAGCGGCUGGUCAUAUGGCCACUGCCUUUAUCCUGUGCAUUUUUCUUUUUCUUAAGAGGACCACCCACCAACCAAUCCUUCCUUUUCCUUUUUCCUGUACUAUGCUGUACUCCGUAGCCAUUUGCUUUUGACAUUGCCACAGUGGAAUGUGACUGCUGUCGCUGUUGCUCUUGUUGUAAACGUUUGUUUGAACCUGACCGAAAGGACGAUGGCCAAUGAUCUUGCUCCCGUGAAAUCAUGCAGCAGAGGCUGGAAUAAUUUGUUGCUCAUCAGCACAUUACUUCAUUUUCG